UGUCUCCUCCACCCUCCUCCUUUGGUGUGGAUUUAACGCGGCUCAGCGAGCCGCGUUUUUUUUG
rnacentral:ncRNA from 17 species